UAACAAGGAUUCCCCUAGUAACUGCGAGUGAAGCGGGAAAAGCUCAAAUUUAAAAUCUGGCAGUCUCACUGUCCGAAUUGUUAUCUGGAGAAGCAUUUUCUGUGUCAGACCGUGUACAAGUCUCUUGGAAUUGAGCGUCAUAGAGGGUGAGAAUCCCGUCCAUGACACGGAUCACUGAUGCUUUGUGAUAUGCUCUCAAAGAGUCGAGUUGUUUGGGAAUGCAGCUCAAAAUGGGUGGUAAAUUCCAUCUAAAGCUAAAUAUUGGCGAGAGACCGAUAGCGAACAAGUACCGUGAGGGAAAGAUGAAAAGCACUUUGAAAAGAGAGUUAAACAGUACGUGAAAUUGUUGAAAGGGAAACGCUUGAAGUCAGUCGCGUUGUCUGAGACUCAGCCUUGCUUUGCUUGGUGUACUUCUUAGUUAACGGGUCAACAUCAAUUUUGGUCGGUGGAUAAAGGUGUUGGGAAUGUGACACCUUCGGGUGUGUUAUAGCCCUUCGCUGCAUACAUUGACUGGGAUUGAGGACUGCAGCACGCCAUUUUGGCCGAGGGUUCGCCCUACGUAACGUGCUUAGGAUGUUGGCAUAAUGGCUUUAAGCGACCCGUCUUGAAACACGGACCAAGGAGUCUAACAUGCUUGCGAGUGUUAGGGUGGAAAACCCUUGCGCGGAAUGAAAGUGAAAGUUGGGACCCUUUACGGGGGCACCGACGCCCGGCCCUGAAGUUUACUGACGGUGCUGCGGUAGAGCACGUAUGUUGGGACCCGAAAGAUGGUGAACUAUGCCUGAAUAGGGUGAAGCCGGGGGAAACUCUGGUGGAGGCUCGUAGCGAUUCUGACGUGCAAAUCGAUCGUCAAAUUUGGG
rnacentral:rRNA from 1 species